CUGCCCUCUGCAACGCGGCACCAGCCUGGGACGAGAGCAUCAGGCCUGGAGACUGGGGGGAAGCCCGGGGGGUCCCGGGCCGGAAAGACAUCGUAAAAGGGAUUUAAGAAAUCCCAUUGGAUGGUUUCCGAGGGCCGGGGCGCUGCGGAUCGCAUCACCGACACAAGCAAACGUCCCUGUGUGGGAAGUGGCUGCGUGGCGGCGGCUACCAGAAAGGUCCUCGAGGACUGGCCCUCCGUGGCAGUGAAUGCUCACUCCCUCUCCUGCCUUCCACCGCCACAAGGAGACCUGCCCACCCACUGGUGGAUCAUGAUGAGGAUGCAGGAGAGUAUAUAGUAUAUAAAUACCUUUAUCAGGUUCUGUGCCACCACACUGACGGAAUUUAAAGAAAUUCAAGAUUUGGGGGUUGGCUCUUGUGAAGGAUAAUUUAGCCAACAUCCACCCCAACCCCCAGCAAUGAGCAUCCCAUCUGACUGUGUCAUCCCCAAACUGUUAAGGUAGGAUCGACCAUAAUUACAUACUAAACGCACGCCCAUCCCUGCCUUCAGAGAGCUCUCUAUCAAAGAAGUGGUUGAGUUCUUGGGAACUCAAAAAAGAGAGAAGAGCCUGGGCCAAGGCACAGCUGGGUGAGCCCAGGUGCACGGAGGGUGAGGAGGAGGUCGCUGUGGUGAAUGACUGUGCAGGAUAAGGGGUGGCAGAAGCCGGGCGAAAAAGGAAGAUUAUGUUCCAAUUACGAUAACUCUUAGGCUCUAAGAAUUUGGAUUUUAUCCAGUAAGCAGCAGGAAGGAAUCAAUGGACAUUUUUGUCAAGAGAUAUUACCCGUUCAUUUUUUUAGAAGGGGGAAAAAAAAAAAAAAGUUCUGGGGGAAGAGAGGAAAGCUGUUGCACACACCAGAACAAGAGAUGAUGUGACCUAGUUUAAGGCAGUAGGAGUGUGUGAAUGGAAAGGAGAGGCCUGAUUUCGGUUAACAUUUCUGAGGCAAAGGGAUGGUGGUACUUAGCAUUCUAUUGAUAAGGUGGAGGGUAGAGAAGGGUUUAAAGGAGAUGGGUAACGGCUUCCGCAACCAAAAGAGGACAGGAAGAACAGUUGUUGCCAAAGAGCAUCCAAAUUUUAUUUUCAUUGCAAUGAAUCUGAAAUACUUAAGGAUCCUCCAAGACAAGAUGCCUGUAGAUAGUUGAAAACUGGCUUGAUAAAGUGGAGUCAGGGCUGAAGAAAAGAUAUUUGGGGACAAUUAAGAGUCACUGGGUGGGGAGGGGCAUCUGGGUGGCUCAGCCAGUUAAGUGUCUGCCUCUCAGGGUCCUGGGAUCCAUCCUGCAUUGAGCUCCCCGCUCAGCAAGGAGUCUGCUUCUCCCCCUGCCUCUCCCUGGAACUCAUGCUCUCUCUGACUCUCAAAUAAAUAAAUAAAAUCUUAAAAAAAAAAAAAAAAAGAGUUUGGACUCACCUACAGACAGUGCAGGAUGAACAGAGCUGGGAUGGGGAGAAGGGACACCCUUUAUUGAAUCAGAUAAGAAACUAAUUAAAAAGAA